AGGUAUUCAGUAUCAGCUGGGAAAGGGAGAGUUGUGAAACCAGCAGGACAGUAGCUCUCGAGGACCAGGAUUGGGCAACCCUGCUUUAAGCAACUGCACACGAAUGCUACUGACUAGUACAUUUCAUUGUUUCUGUCAAUCUACAUGCUGUCAUACUUGUGCUUUUGCAGUAUUGAAUGAAACAAAUCCAACAGCUGUGGUCCCCAACCUGACUACUACGGAAGCCACUCAACAAACACCCAUCAGUGCUACACCAGCUCCAACAACAGAGACUACAGCAGCUACUUCGACUGCUUCAGGAACCACAACAUUUGUUCUUGUCUCAGCUGUCUUGAAUACACCAUAUGAACCACAACUCAAUGACAGCAGCAGUGUUGAGUUCAAGACUCUUGAAACAGAAGUUGUACAAAUUUGGGACAUCGUCUACAGUGCCAGAUAUUAUUAUCUUUUUGUCCGUGCCUAUGUCGUAGAAUUCAGGUAAGGUUUUAACUUAUUUUUCGCUUUAUUGUAGGUGCUGUUCUCCAGUAUCAUGAGUGUUGUAUUCCAAAGAACCCCAUUUCAUGGAGCAAUUGCACACAUCAUUAAUGACUGUCAAUAUGAUGUCCUUGAAAUGUUCUGCUGUUUUUUGCAGACAAUAUGUCACAACAACAACAACAACAAAGACUCUUACUGAAGUAGAAGUGGUGGUUGAGUUCAAUGACCAUGCUGCACUGGAGAAACCCCACAGGCUAGUGAUGUGGCAAAAACAUUAGGAAAUGCUGUGUCCAAUCCCAACAACACCUUCAAUCUCACUGUUGAUUCCACUACCAUCCAAGCAGUUGGUAAGUAAGCUGUUGCCCUGAAUCCUAAACCAUGGGUAAAUACUUUUUCUGUUCUCAGCGCCAUCUAAAAAGAUGGUUGGCUCAACAAAGAGCAUGCAGAAGCAGAAUAAUCAAAAAGGCCAAAAUGAGCAAGACUUAAUGCCAGCGUUGUCCAAUCCUCACGUUCGACAGCUACUGUCUUUCUGGUUUUCUAACUAUCGGCUGAUUACCUUGAUCAGAUGGGUUAGUCAGUUGCUGCUUUACUGAACAAACCUGGUC
rnacentral:lncRNA from 1 species